rnacentral:lncRNA from 1 species
CACAGGCAUCUGGUACUGUUGAUGUGUACUCUCUGUUGACUGAACUGGUGCGGGCAAGCAGGGUUCUUGAGCUAGAGACUGUAUAGCGGGCAUCUGGGGCUGAGGCAAUUGUGAAGGAUAAAGAACAACAGGAGAUGGAUUUUGUUGUUGUGGAGGUGGAGGAGCAUGAGGAACAAGGGAAGAAGGAUGUGGAGAUGGUUGAGGUGGAGCAGCUGGGGCUUGAAGUGGUUGUUGGACAGGCUGUGGCGGUGAAGCUACUUGUUGCCAAGAGUCUGGUUGUCCGGUGCUAGCUUUUU